rnacentral:rRNA from 1 species
GUAUGGUGCAAGCGUUAUCCGGAUNUACUGGGUGUAAAGGGAGCGCAGGCGGUGCGGCAAGUCUGAUGUGAAAGCCCGGGGCUCAACCCCGGUACUGCAUUGGAAACUGUCGUACUAGAGUGUCGGAGGGGUAAGUGGAAUUCCUAGUGUAGCGGUGAAAUGCGUAGAUAUUAGGAGGAACACCAGUGGCGAAGGCGGCUUACUGGACGAUAACUGACGCUGAGGCUCGAAAGUGUGGGUAUCAAACAGGAUUAGAUACCCUGGUAGUCCACACGGUAAACGAUGAAUACUCGCUGUUUGCGAUAUACAGCAAGCGGCCAAGCGAAAGCGUUAAGUAUUCCACCUGGGGAGU